UUUAAAAAAUUAGCCCAUCGCAGCCUAGAUCGUAACGAAGAGUUAUUAGGUGGGAACGAUGUUUAGUCGUAAUUGUAAUGCUCGUGUUCCGCAUACCAGCGAUCGUAUAAAUCGAUCGAUUGCAUCCAUCGGGAACAUUGUUUGCCAUUAAAUCGAGCAUUAAUGAUGCUCCGGUGAUAAAUAGCAACGUUAUUAUUUCUCGUUCGAAUCUCUCGAGAAAUAUCGUUUUCAUUUUGUGGUGAUGUGAUAAAAAUAAAUUAUUCAUCAGUUUGAAUAUCAUCGUUACGUGUUGCGCUCGAAAUUGAACGAAUAUUCUUUCUUAAUCCUUAUAAUACUAGAUUGUACCUGUGUCUUAUAUAUUGGAAUAUUGGAUAAAGUAAAAUUUGGUGGUCGAGGUAAUUAAUCUUGACACUAGGUUGAGUUUAUUUUGAAUUACUCAUCCAUUCAUCGCCCUUUUCUGUAUACAAUGUAAAGAGAAUUCUGAGAUGAUUAAAAUCCACUUUUUCUCAUUUAUUGUUUUUAUAUUUGGGAAAUUCAAAUAGAACUUGGAAUUCUGGUCAAUAUUGUUAUUAGGAUUAAUUUUCAAUGAUAAAUUUCAACUAUUCCAUAAGUAUACAGUUUUCAAUCAGAAUCCUUGUGUUAUUUAUCCAAUGUUUUCUGUAAAGAGAAUUUUGAGAGAUUAAAGUUCAACAUAAAAUCCACUUUUUCUCAUUUAUUGUUAUUAUGUUUGGAAAAUUCAAAUAGAAUUUUGAAUUCUGAUCAAUAUUGUUAUUAAGAGUAAUUUUCAACAUCACUAUUCCAUAAGUUUGAAUCACAAUCCAAGUUUUCUGUAUUUAUUUCAGUCUUUUUUUAAUCUCUUAUGUUAUUUAAAAAAAAAAAAGAAUUCGUCAAUUAUAAAAAUUAUAUUUCAGUAUCAUAAGUGCAACUUGAGUUGUGAUUUUAGAAUGCUUAUUGAGUAAUUACUAUAAUGAAAUGGAAUUUUAAUCUUAAUUAAUUUGUAUUUUAUGAUAUAUAGAAAAUUAUAUAGUGAAUGAAAAAAAAAUUUUAUUAUAUCUGCGUUAUAUAUCUGCGUAUUAUAUUUGCAAGUGAAAAAUACAAAAAAAUCAACAGGUUUCGAAAAAUCUUUCCUCUCUUAAGUAAUUUAUCGAAAGAUGAGAAUUUUAAAGCAUGAAGUUAAAAAUGAAAUCGAAAACUUCGAAGCGUAAAGUAAUUUUAAAAGUUCUCGAGUCUAAUAGAAAGUUUUCACUUAAGAAAUUUUACUUACUCUUAUCUGAAUCGAUUGCAUCUAUCAAAUGAUGAAAAUCUGGUGAAAAUUUGUUAAACAUAUGUUCAAAUUAUUAUUUCUUUCUUAUCUCCUUCUUAAUUUAUUAUAAUUUAUUACAAUAUUUUUAUUAUAAUUAAAUCAUAAUCAAAUUGAAAUAACUUAUUUUUUUUAUGCUUCGAAAUUGUAUUAAUUUUCAAGGAAAUAACGUAAAUUGGCCAAAAAAGGGAAGGAUGCCUAUUAAAUCUGGUUAGAAAUCGUUUCCGCUGGACAAGUCUCCUUCCUUCAACUGGAUCUUUCGUCUUCCGUCUUCCGUCUGUCGUUUCUACGGUUGUCAGUCGAUAAAAAUCACAGCCAAUAGAUCCGCAAGUUGCGUGCAUGCUUGUUUUCACUUUCUAUGUGGACAGUUCCUAACCACGUAUGCAGACCGCAUGCAGUAAAGAGAAAGUGGUGUAAUGUCUGCAAAUCGACUAUUAACACUCGUAAGAGUCUUUCCAGCAUAUUUGCGAAAAAGACGAUGUAUCCUUGCAAUAUCGUAUGUAUUCUUGUACAAAAAAAUACUCAAUUAUUAGAUCAUAAAUUUUUGUACAAAAUUUAUAAUUACACACAUCAAUAUAUAUAAUAUACAUAUAUAUGUAUAUAUAUAUAUAUAAUUAUUACACUCCUACACCAUAAUUAUUAUAACUGAUUAUAUAAAAGAGAAUAUUAAACAAUAAUAAAAAAAUUCUUAUUAUAAUCAUAUUAGCGUGAACUUGAUAUAGAUUUUGCAUAAAGAAACUCACGAUAUAACGAUAAUAAUCAUAACGAUGUUCAAACCUAAUAUAACUUAAUCAAUAAUGAUUUUCAUUUAUCUUUCCAAUUUUUCAAGUUGACUUAUCGUGAUCCACUUAAAUUAUUUUUGUGUGAGUUCCGAUGUUUUCAACAUUGAUGUCGAAUUACAAAAAUAGUUCAGCAAUCUAUGUAGUUUUAUCGUACACCAAUUACCGUAAUGUUUCAAUUUUCUUUGUCGAGCUUUAUUCCUGGCUAAAUGGAAAUUAGCACGCGAUCAGAGAAAUUAGGAAGUUUAUGAUCAACUCGAGAGUGAAAGUUUUUUCGAGAGUGUGCUAAUUAUACGUAUCAUCAUGAAUCUUGAAAAUUUUUGAAAAUAGAAUAAUUGUUUUGAAAUUAGAAUAUGUUAGAAUAAUUUUAGAUUUUUUAUUUUUGAAUAUUUAAUGUAAAAUUUAUUAUUUUAACUUAUUUAUAUGAUUUUAAAUUUGAAGUUUCUUAUCACGAUUUGAUGACUUUCAUAUGCAUAGAUAUUAAUAAACAGCCGGAAUUUAUAAUCAAGGAUAAAAGGAUUUUUGCUUUUUUUUUUCUGAAAAAAAAUUGAGUAGUGCAAUAUAAAAGUUCCUCUUUUCCUAAGAUGUUACAAAGGAAGUUAACGAAUUUCAUAAAAGCAAUUUAGAAACUUCUUCUUUAAUAAAGUCUUUAGUGAAUGGAACUUCAUCAAA